UACGUAGGGUGCAAGCGUUGUCCGGAAUUAUUGGGCGUAAAGAGCUCGUAGGCGGUUUGUUGCGUCGGCUGUGAAAUCCCGAGGCUCAACCUCGGGUCUGCAGUCGAUACGAGCAAACUAGAGUGUUGCAGGGGAGACUGGAAUUCCUGGUGUAGCGGUGAAAUGCGCAGAUAUCAGGAGGAACACCGGUGGCGAAGGCGGGUCUCUGGGCAACAACUGACGCUGAGGCGCGGAAGCGUGGGGAGCAAACAGG
rnacentral:rRNA from 1 species